rnacentral:rRNA from 1 species
UACGAAGGGGGCUAGCGUUGUUCGGAAUUACUGGGCGGAAAGCGCACGUAGGCGGAUUGUUAAGUGAGGGGUGAAAUCCCAGGGCUCAACCCUGGAACUGCCUUUCAUACUGGCAAUCUCGAGUCCGAGAGAGGUGAGUGGAAUUCCGAGUGUAGAGGUGAAAUUCGUAGAUAUUCGGAGGAACACCAGUGGCGAAGGCGGCUCACUGGCUCGGUACUGACGCUGAGGUGCGAAAGCGUGGGGAGCAAACAGG